GGACGGGUGAGUAACGCGUGGGUAACCUGCCUUAUACAGGGGGAGUAACAGUCAGAAAUGGCUGCUAAUACCGCAUAAGCGCACAGAGCUGCAUGGCUCAGUGUGAAAAACUCCGGUGGUAUAAGAUGGACCCGCGUUGGAUUAGCUAGUUGGUGGGGUAACGGCCCACCAAGGCGACGAUCCAUAGCCGGCCUGAGAGGGUGAACGGCCACAUUGGGACUGAGACACGGCCCAAACUCCUACGGGAGGCAGCAUG
rnacentral:rRNA from 1 species